UGGGGAAUAUUGGACAAUGGGGGGAACCCUGAUCCAGCCAUGCCGCGUGAGUGAAGAAGGCCGUAUGGUUGUAAAGCACUUUAAGCGAGGAGGAGGGUACUGGUAUUAAGACUACCAGCUACUGGACGUUACUCGCAGAAUAAGCACCGGCUAACUCGGUGCCAGCAGCCGCGGUAAUACAGAGGGUGCGAGCGUUAAUCGGAUUUACUGGGCGUAAAGCGUGCGUAGGCGGCUAAUUGAGUCGGAUGUGAAAUCCCCGAGCUUAACUUGGGAAUUGCAUUCGAUACUGGUUAGCUAGAGUGUGGGAGAGGAUGGUAGAAUUCCAGGUGUAGCGGUGAAAUGCGUAGAGAUCUGGAGGAAUACCGAUGGCGAAGGCAGCCAUCUGGCCUAACACUGACGCUGAGGUACGAAAGCAUGGGGAGCAAACAGG
rnacentral:rRNA from 1 species